GCGGGUGUGGUGUAUGGUACACAGCAGCGCCGCCUAAGAGGCCGUCGGUCAUUGUGACUUUGCGCAGCAGAACCGGGUUCGAUUCCCGGCACCCGCA